rnacentral:misc_RNA from 1 species
UUGUUGUUGUCAUCUACCUCUGCUUGUGAUUAUUCUGUCGUGUUGCACAUCUCUGUGGUUCUCGUUCUGUGCAACUGCGUGCGUGCCUCCGCUGUACACGUUAUCAUCGCCGCCUGUUUCCGUCGACGACGUUGUAGUGCCCCUCCGUUCAUCCACAAGCGCACCCACCCACCCACCGCUAUUUAUAGACCGACUCUAUCUCUUCCCCACCACGCAAUCAUGAUCGAGGACCACGCCGAGUACGGCCACAACCACUACCCCCAGAAGCUGGCCAGCUCUACCCUCACCCUACCGAAGCAGGGAGCGAAGCAGCAGCAGUGGAGCCCCUACCAGGACAAUGGAGGCACGACGGCCGCUAUCGCUGGGAAGGACUUCGUCAUCCUCGCUGGUGACACUCGUCUGAAUGGUGACUACUGCCUUCACAGCCGCCAUGAUCAGAGCAAGAUCUUCCAACUGACGCCGUACACGUACAUGGCGAGCAACGGCAUGCAGGCGGACCGGCUGCAGCUCCAGCAGAUGCUCAAGUACCGCGUCAAGUGGUACCAGUACAACAACGGCGGUAGGGUGCCGCCGACCAAGGCAAUUGCGCAGCUCAUGUCCACGAUGCUGUACCACCGUCGCUUCUUCCCUUACUACACGUUCAAUAUGGUCGUUGGUCUGGAUGAGGAGGGGCACGGCGUGUGCUACAGCUACGACGCCGUCGGCUCAACGGAGCCCUUCCUGUACGGUACCCGGGGUAGCGCGGCCAGCUUCUUGGAGCCGGUGCUCGACUGCCUUAUCAACCGCCAACAUAUGACCGCCCAGGCACCGCCGGAGAUGACAAAGGAGGAGACGCUGGCGAUGCUCAAGAACGCCUUCACCGGCGCAGCCGAGCGCGACAUUUACACCGGCGACUCCGUCUCCUUCUUUAUCAUCACGAAGGACGGCGUGCAGCGGGAGAGCUUCGAGCUGCGCAAGGACUGAUGCGCACGCGCACGCGAGUAGCCGUGGCUGCAUCCCUUUGCCUCUCCCCUCCCUCCGUCUCUGUGUGCGUGCACCAGAGAGCGAGCACGAGAGGAGGGGGAAGGGGCAGCCAUCCAGGUGUUGAGAGGAGGCCAGCGCUGCCCCCCUCUCUCGUCUCCCUCCCGCAUCGACUGUGCAUGCGCAACGUGUUUUGUUUUUCGUUUUCGUUCUUGACUACGGCGGCGUCUCGCCUCGUCUCGUCUCUCUCUCCCCCCUUUCCUUCUACUCUGUUGUUGUCCUUGUUGAAUGAUGCCACCUGAUGUGCGGUGCUCGAUGAUGAUAGUGACGGUGGUGAUGAUUACAGCCGGCCAGCCCUUAUUGCUCUCUCACCGCCCCCCGCUCUUGUCUCUCUGUCUGUCUUCCACCUCUCUCUACGUAUGUAUGUGCGCCCUACACGCUACGGACCCACGCACGUGGCGUCUCUGCGGCUCCGUUUGUGUGCGUGGGCGCGCGCCCUUUUAGAUUUUCCUCUAUUCCUGUGAGAUGCGCGUGAUGGUGGUGCGCGAUGGGGGCUGGGCGGUGUUGCUCGCGGAAAAGCAUGUGAGCGCGUAUCUCUCUCUGACUUUUGACGCUGCGUGUGUGUGCCUGUGCAUAUCUGGUGAAACGGCAACAGGGAAGGCACUGAAAAGCCGCGGUGUCGCAGCGGCACACCUCCACAUAAAAACGCGUGGAUGGGGAGCGCGACGGUGAACACGCGUGCCUGCGCGCGCGUGUGUCUGUAUUUGUGUGUCGCAUUCUCACAGACACACACGCGCAGACACAAAGAUACGUACAGGCGGAAGUGGAUCGCUCACAAGCGGCUCGGGUAAGAGAGAGAGGGGUGGGCAGGCGCGCUACAGGCCGUGCACAUGGAGAGGAACAGAGCGCGUCUUUCUCUCGUUUUGUGUGUGAGAGUGUCAGCUGCGCCUCAGACUCACCUCCGGCGUCUCUCUGCCGCCGUUUUCUUUCCAACCAGAGUCGCAGCUGCCGGUGGGUGGGUGCGUAGAGCGCUUCCGGUGCCUCUGUGUGUGUGCUCACUCCCACACAUGCACACAUGCACACAUGCACACCUGCUCACGCUCGCUCUGGAAGGAAAGGCUCCGCUGGGCGUUGUGUGAUGUGCGCAUUCUCUCUCUCGUUCUAUCGUCUUCCCCAUCUUCUCCGCCCGGUGCUGCUCCCCCUCCCCUUCUCAUCGAAG